rnacentral:rRNA from 3 species
UUGGAGGAACGUAUAGCGAAAGCUAGUUGCAUUUAAUUUAGCGAAAGCUAAACUGGUGCAGAAUUGAUUCUAUCAAAUAAAGUUCUAGACAGGUUAUGAUGAUGACAUUUCCUAUCUAUGUGUCUUGACCAAAUUACGUGCCAGCAGUCGCGGUAACACGUAGAAGACUAGUGUUAUUCAUCUUUAAUAGGUUUAAAGGGUACCUAGACGGUAAAUCCAGUCCAAAAAGGAUACUAAUUUGCUAGAGUUUAAUGUGAGGGGGCACUAAAGUACUGAUAAGUGUAGAGAUGAAAUUCUGUGAUACAAUAUAAGGACAGGUAAAGGCGAAAGCAUCUCAUUAUGUAAUAACUGACGUUGAGGGACGAAGGCUAGGAGAAGCAAAAAGGAUUAGAUACCCAAGUAGUCUUAGCAGAAAAUUAUGAAUGUCAUAGGAUGGAAAUAGUGGAUAACCAUUUUUUUUUCUAUAAAUGAAAGUGUAAGCAUUCCACCUCGAGAGUAAUUUGGCAACAUUGGAACUGAAAUCAUUAGACCGUUUCUGAAACAAGUAGUGAAGUAUGUUGUUUAAUUUGAUGGUCCGCAAAAAACCUUACCACAAUUUGAAUAGAAAUUUUUAUUUUUUACAAGCGCUGCACGGUUGUCUCCAGUUAAUGUCGUGAGAUCUUGGUUAGUUCCAUUAAAUUAACGUAAACCCUUACUUUAUUUAUAUAUAGAGUAGUUCACCGCUAGAUUGGAUGUGAUAACAGGGACUAAGACAAGUCAUCAUGGCCUUAAUAUUGUGGG